CCUACGGGGCGCAGCAGUCGAGAAUCAUUCACAAUGGGGGAAACCCUGAUGGUGCGACGCCGCGUGGGGGAAUGAAGGUCUUCGGAUUGUAAACCCCUGUCAUGUGGGAGCAAAUUAAAAAGAUAGUACCACAAGAGGAAGAGACGGCUAACUCUGUGCCAGCAGCCGCGGUAAUACAGAGGUCUCAAGCGUUGUUCGGAAUCACUGGGCGUAAAGCGUGCGUAGGCUGUUUCGUAAGUCGUGUGUGAAAGGCGCGGGCUCAACCCGCGGACGGCACAUGAUACUGCGAGACUAGAGUAAGGGAGGGGGAACCGGAAGUCUCGGUGUAGCAGUGAAAUGCGUAGAUAUCGAGAGGAACACUCGUGGCGAAGGCGGGUUCCUGGACAUUAACUGACGCUGAGGCACGAAGGCCAGGGGAGCGAAAGGGAUUAGAUACCCUUGUAGUC
rnacentral:rRNA from 1 species